rnacentral:rRNA from 1 species
GACGAACGCUGGCGGCGUGCUUAACACAUGCAAGUCGAACGGAAAGGCCUCUUUCGGGGGGUACUCGAGUGGCGAACGGGUGAGUAACACGUGAGUAACCUGCCCUUGACUUUGGGAUAACUUCAGGAAACUGGGGCUAAUACCGGAUAGGAGCUCCUGCUGCAUGGUGGGGGUUGGAAAGUUUCGGCGGUUGGGGAUGGACUCGCGGCUUAUCAGCUUGUUGGUGGGGUAGUGGCUUACCAAGGCUUUGACGGGUAGCCGGCCUGAGAGGGUGACCGGCCACAUUGGGACUGAGAUACGGCCCAGACUCCUACGGGAGGCAGCAGUGGAGAAUAUUGCACAAUGGGUGGGAGCCUGAUGCAGCAACGCCGUGUGCGGGAUGACGGCCUUCGGGUUGUAAACCGCUUUCGCUGAUGACGAAGCUUUGUGUGACGGUAGUGGGGAAAGAAGCACCGGCUAACUACGG